rnacentral:rRNA from 1 species
GACGAACGCUGGCGGCGUGCUUAACACAUGCAAGUCGAGCGGAAAGGCCCUUCGGGGUACUCGAGCGGCGAACGGGUGAGUAACACGUGAGUAACCUGCCCCAGACUUUGGGAUAACCCUCGGAAACGGGGCUAAUACCGAAUAUUACUUGGCUUCGCAUGGAGCUUGGUGGAAAGUUUUUCGGUCUGGGAUGGACUCGCGGCCUAUCAGCUUGUUGGUGGGGUAAUGGCCUACCAAGGCGAGGACGGGUAGCCGGCCUGAGAGGGCGACCGGCCACACUGGGACUGAGACACGGCCCAGACUCCUACGGGAGGCAGCAGUGGGGAAUAUUGCACAAUGGGCGAAGCCUGAUGCAGCGACGCCGCGUGAGGGAUGACGGCCUUCG